UACGGGGGGGGCAAGCGUUGUUCGGAAUUACUGGGCGUAAAGGGCUCGUAGGCGGCCAACUAAGUCCGACGUGAAAUCCCCAGGCUUAACCUGGGAACUGCGUCGGAUACUGGAUGGCUUGAAUUCGGGAGAGGGAUGCAGAAUUCCAGGUGUAGCGGUGAAAUGCGUUGAUAUCAUCAGGAACACCGGUGGCGAAAGCGGCUUACUGGGUCUCUUCUGACGCUGAGGAACGAAAGCUAGGGGAGCGAACGGG
rnacentral:rRNA from 1 species